CAAACAAUAUAAUGUGAAGUAAUAAUCAUGAAAAAUCAUAAUCCAAACGUUUGAUAGAACGAUUUUUUGAUGGACUAUGUGUACUUGGUCCACUCUGACUGAACUAAAAACCACCGUUCAGUAAGUUGGUUAACUCUGAAUGAAAAAUUAACAAGAAAAUAACAAUCAUUUAAUACUGCAUAGCUCUAAGAUAAACAGAUUAUCAAGACCCUUCGACACCAGUAUCGUAAAUUCAUCACUAAUUCAUAUCAGUGGCAAUAUACCGAUCGGUACGCUAUAGGAACGAUCGAUGGGUGUUGGAUAUGCUCUUAUCAGAGAGAUUGAUAGCCUAUAAAGGUGAGAUCUACUGCGGGUAAAGUGUACAGUGGUUAACAAAUUGUGUCACGCAUUCUAUUGUGGGGGACGCAAUAGGUGCCUUUUAGCGAUUUUCCCGAUUCAAACCCUAGAGAUCUUAACCAUUGAGCAUGAUCAAGGGAGCUAUACAUUUACCCACCUUACUUUAUAUGACGAUGGGACAAAUUUCCCAAUUGGCGAGGAACGUACCCCUCGAGAGGUGGUCUUUUGAUACCUGAGAAAAACGUUAUUUUUUUCAUCCGCUAUUCCGGAAACAUUUAUUGCACUAAUUAUUUACUCAUAUACCAACAGUUUACUUUCAAUGUGUUUUAGGCCACAAAAUUACAUUUGUCUUUUGAGUUAACUUGACACCAUGCCCCAAACCCUCCAAUUAAAACGUAGUCCACUUAGACAU